rnacentral:misc_RNA from 1 species
CGGCUGCCAAAUAACAAAAAUCUUCUCUCGUUUAGCUGCUGAAAGUGAAACAGUCCCUAUAUAUAAUGGAUUUGGAUCCCCUUUUCUGUUAGCAUCUCUAGGUGGCCUUCCCUCCUUAAUUCCCUCUAACAGAGUAACACUCAUGCUAACCAUUUCCAGCUCUUCCCCUGUUUUGUUACUGCUGCCAGUGUCCCUUCUCCAGAGCCUUCCAUCCUCUUUAUGUAAUCUUCUUUCAUCCUUCCGCCAGCUCUUCUAAUUCUUUUAGUAUAAACCCACAUUGUACCCAGGUUUUAUCCAUUUCCUGCUAGCCCAUAGAUUGAUCACGAUCCUUAACAAACACCUCACAAAAAUUCAGUGGAGAUCUGCUUGAAUAUUCCCUGUAAGGACAUUCAACAUUCACGGACCAAGCAUUGAUCGAAUGUUGAAAUCUACCUUCUCUUAUCUGCUAAAGUUGCUGCAUUAUACACUGAUUGAAGCUUCUCCACUUUCGGUGGACUUGGUAUCCAUCUCUUGUGUCCUAAAUAAGCAUCCUCCAAUUUUGUUACAACCCCUUAAGGCUUGAGCACCAGUGCCAAAGCAUUUUUUGUCAAAAUUUCUUCAAUUUUCUAGCAGCAGGGAGGUGUAUUACCAGCUGAAAAUGAGUUUGACUUAGAUGGGUAUCCUCUACAUAAUAUUGUUGUGUAGUGGUUCUCUCAGCUGUUUGAGUUUCUGAUUGUACUACCUUC